AAAAGAUUUGUGUUUAUUACAACUGAAGUUUUUAUUAAAAUUAUUAGAUAUCUAAUCAAGUAAAUAAUAGAAACUUCUUAAAAAUUUAGAUAAUUAAAAUGGUUGUGAAUUAGAAUUGACUCCCAAUUAAUAGAAAUUUAUUUUACUUCACAAUACUAUUUGUCCAUAAAGUAAAUGGCAAAAGCCUAGGCUACAACCUUGGUUGAUCCCUACAUGCCUUGACCAAAGUUUGGAUGAUUGGAGGAUAUCUUCUUUUACUCUUAUCAUUGGCUUUAAGGUUGUAGGAGGUGAUUAAUUUUAAUUAUACUCCAUACCUUGUAAAGAAGUCACGUGCCUCUGCCACAUGAAGCUCACUCUAAUCUGCUUUCAUUCUUCCAAUGUUCAUAUAGCAACAUACAAUAUCUUUCAAAAGAAACUGAUAUACUACCUUUGUAGACUUUGACUUCAAUGCCCUCCCUUUCAUAUAAUUGGAGAGUUUUUUAUUUUGUCAAACUAAAUACUUUAUGUCUCAAAGCUCCAUUAGUAUGUCAAUCAAAUUAUUCACCCAUUAAAAAUUAAUGGUAAGUGAAUAGAUAAUGCAUAAACCAUUUCUAUACUUUACUUUGAAUUACAAUUAGCACUGUCUAAAAGAGCUCACAAAUUCCUCUAUACCCUUAUAUAAGCC
rnacentral:lncRNA from 1 species